rnacentral:tRNA from 1 species
GGGUAUAGCUCAGUGGUAGAGUGCAUGCUCAGCAUGCAUGAGGUCCUGGGUUCAAUCCCCAGUACCUCCA